rnacentral:lncRNA from 1 species
GUGCUGUGGACCGGCAUAGGAGCGGAGGCUAGUACCACCUUUGUCAUCCAUUCUCAGUAGGUUAUUGAUUAACCUACUUAUUGUAUUAUAUUCCGAGUCUGUUCCUUAGAUUGCUCUGAAUACUUGUUGAGAGUGGAUUUAUACAUUUGUAUAAUUAUGUGUGUAAGAGAGUGGUUUAUUUUGGGAGAUUGUUGAACGAUUGAGUUACGGGGUUGUAUUUGUUUAAGAUGUUUUGGUUGAAGCAGGGCGGCUUCAAGCGUAGAACUUAAAUUAUUUU